rnacentral:rRNA from 1 species
UACGGAGGGUGCAAGCGUUAUCCGGAUUUACUGGGCUUAAAGGGUGCGUAGGUGGGCAGUUAAGUCAGCGGUGAAAUCUCUGGGCUUAACCCAGAAACUGCCAUUGAUACUAUCUGUCUUGAAUAUCCUGGAGGUGAGCGGAAUAUGUCAUGUAGCGGUGAAAUGCUUAGAUAUGACAUAGAACACCAAUUGCGAAGGCAGCUCACUACGGGGUUAUUGACACUGAGGCACGAAAGCGUGGGGAUCAAACAGG